GCGGGAUUGGUAUAGUGGUUAUUACUUCAGUUUUCCAAACUGACUAGAGGGGUCCGAUUCCCCUAUCCCGCUCCA
rnacentral:tRNA from 1 species